ACACCUUGUGAAAGAUUUGUCUGUGCAUCACUGCCUGCCAGGCAAGAUGCUGUGAUAUCCCCUCUUUUUCCCUUGAGCUAAGUUUUCCUCUUAAAAGGACAUUAGGGAAGGGGUUUCAGAGCUGUGCUUAAAAUGCCACACUUCAUAAAAGCAUUAUGCUGUGAUAAUCUUUUUCCCAGCACCUUUUUUCAGCUGAAUGGUGCAUCAGGCUCCUGUCAGAAGGACCCUCUUCAUCGCAAGCCAUCUGUCCCUCAGCAGGCAGCCCAGCGGUGACAGGGAGGAAAUAACAGCUUGCCACCUAUUCAGAGGUAGAUGAGGAAAGGAAGAAGAAAAAACCCUGGAGGACCUUCUUGGAGGAGAAAAUUACAGUCAGAAAAGUGCUGCGUUUGACAACUUCUAGCCUCUGGAAGAUGCUCUUCUUAAGGAAGUCUUUUCCUAAACUUAAUAAGAAGUGCUGAGGUGAAGCUGAUAGAGAUUGGUUUCAGUGCUUACAAUAAUCACCUAACAGAAAGACAAUGUACUAACUGGCAAACUUCUCUGAAUAUUUCUAAGCCUUUGAAGACUAUCAUUCCAAACCCAACGUCAUGUCCAAGCUGAUGGACUAGUGCGUAAGUAGAAAUUAAGCAUUAUAUUCACUGUUUACAUAAUCAUACUUCUAAUAAACAGGAGGGUACUUAAAUAGCAUUGAUUCUAUUUGGCCCGUUCUCUUUAGUGCUCAUUAGCCGCAGAGCCUAGAUGCCAGAUUUCUGUAGAGAAAUCAAGCAGCCUCUUUUCAUGGAAACCUUUUAAGACCAUGCAGUGAGUGAAUCCAUAGGAAGCCAUCUGAGAUGAUAGUAACACGGAAUUUAGUUCAUGGAUGUCACCGAAAAAGUGUUAUUUAACGAGGCAGUAGUUAUUGAAACUGAACUUAAUGCAGUCAUUUGAAACUAGUUUAGGAAGGGCAACUGCUGAGUGGAACUAACUUAAUUCAUCUACAAGAAUGUUUUUAGAUGUAUUAUCUCAUGUCCUGAUAUCUUGAUGGUUAUGACAGAUCCUGAUGGCUAAA